rnacentral:rRNA from 1 species
UACGGAGGGUGCAAGCGUUGUCCGGAUUUAUUGGGUUUAAAGGGUGCGUAGGCGGCUUUUUAAGUCAGUGGUGAAAUACAGCAGCUCAACUGUUGAGGUGCCAUUGAUACUGAAGAGCUUGAGUACAGAUGAGGUAGGCGGAAUUUAUGGUGUAGCGGUGAAAUGCAUAGAUACCAUAAAGAACACCGAUUGCGAAGGCAGCUUACUAAGCUGUAACUGACGCUGAGGCACGAAAAGCGUGGGGGAGCGAACAGG